CUUGUCUGUGAUGUUUUACCCAAUGUAGUUCGAGUUUCACUGACCAUGAGAAUACUUUACAUGCACUACCAUCUGAGACAUG
ensembl:snoRNA SNORD33 Small nucleolar RNA Z195/SNORD33/SNORD32 family